rnacentral:rRNA from 1 species
AUUGAACGCUAGCGGCAUGCCUUACACAUGCAAGUCGAACGAGUGGCGGACGGGUGAGUAAUAUAUGGGAAUGUGCCUGAUAGCGGGGGAUAACUACUCGAAACAGUGGCUAAUACCGCAUACUAUCGGAUCGGCCGAUAUGGGAUUAGCUUGUUGGUGGGGUAACGGCUCACCAAGGCAACGAUCCCUAGCUGGUCUGAGAGGAUGACCAGCCACACUGGGACUGAGACACGGCCCAGACUCCUACGGGAGGCAGCAGUGGGGAAUAUUGGACAAUGGGCGCAAGCCUGAUGCAGCCAUGCCGCGUGUAUGAAGAAGGCCUUCGGGUUGUAAAGUACUUUCGGCAGAGAAGCGGUAUCGACAGAGGAAGCCACGGCUAACUACGUGCCAGCAGCCGCGGUAAUAC